rnacentral:rRNA from 1 species
CCUACGGGAGGCAGCAGUGGGGAAUAUUGCACAAUGGGGGAAACCCUGAUGCAGCGACGCCGCGUGAAGGAAGAAGUAUUUCGGUAUGUAAACUUCUAUCAGCAGGGAAGAAAAUGACGGUACCUGACUAAGAAGCCCCGGCUAACUACGUGCCAGCAGCCGCGGUAAUACGUAGGGGGCAAGCGUUAUCCGGAUUUACUGGGUGUAAAGGGAGCGUAGGCGGUUUAGCAAGUCAGAAGUGAAAGCCCUGGGCUCAACUCCGGGACUGCUUUUGAAACUGUUGAACUAGGUUGCAGGAGAGGUAAGUGGAAUGCCUAGUGUAGCGGUGAAAUGCGUAGAUAUUAGGAGGAACACCAGUGGCGAAGGCGGCUUACUGGACUGUAAAUGACGCUGAGGCUCGAAAGCGUGGGGAGCAAACAGGAUUAGAUACCCUUGUAGUC